rnacentral:rRNA from 1 species
UACGUAGGUGGCGAGCGUUGCUCGGAAUCACUGGGCGUAAAGCGCACGUAGGCGGAUUGCUAAGUCAGGGGUGAAAUCCUGGAGCUCAACUCCAGAACUGCCUUUGAUACUGGCGAUCUUGAGUCCGGGAGAGGUGAGUGGAACUGCGAGUGUAGAGGUGAAAUUCGUAGAUAUUCGCAAGAACACCAGUGGCGAAGGCGGCUCACUGGCCCGGUACUGACGCUGAGGUGCGAAAGCGUGGGGAGCAAACAGG